UUGGAUAAUUUCAUUUCUCAUUUUUAUACGGUGUUUCUGCCGUUGUUAAGUACACCAAAAAAUACCAUUUUGACACCCGCGCUUAUUUUUAGCUGUAGGUAGAUGGUAACCCUGUCGAUAAACUAUCUGAACGGUUCUAAGUCACAAUGAAGAUAUUUCUUGCAUCGAUUCUGCUGUUGGUUGCUGUAUUGUGUAUGUUACUUGGUGGCACAUACGGACAGAUGCAAGAAAUACCAUGUGAAGAGGGCUGUGAAUUUAACCAACAUUGCGAUACAUCAACAGGGGAAUGUGUUAAAGCGUCAUUGAGGAAGCUUUUCUAGAAAGAAAAAUAAAUUCGACAAUAAUUUGCUAAUUACGAAUUAAUAAUAUAUUCUGCAGCAAUAACAUUCGAUCAUUUUGUAAGUUUUGGAUUUGGAGCAUGUCAGCAUCUUCAGAGAACAGUAUUAGAACAACAUUAUCCAAACAUCC